rnacentral:rRNA from 1 species
UACGGAGGGGGCUAGCGUUGUUCGGAAUUACUGGGCGUAAAGGGCGCGUAGGCGGUCGUGACAAGUCACUUGUGAAAUCUCCGGGCUUAACUCGGAACGGUCAAGUGAUACUGUCGGACUAGAGUACAGAAGGGGCAACUGGAAUUCUCGGUGUAGCGGUGAAAUGCGUAGAUAUCUGGAGGAACACCGGUGGCGAAGGCGGCAUCCUGGACCGGCAUUGACGCUGAGGCGCGAAAGCCAGGGGGAGCAAACGGG